GUUGAGGCAAGUGAGUGGCAGAACCCAAAUUUGAAAUCAAGCAGUUUGGCUGCAGAAUCUAGAAGGUUUGUGGUCCAGUCUAACUACAUGAAUCCUUAAAAGCAGAAGAAACUUUCCUGGAUGUGGUCAGAAGAGAUGUGACUAUGGAAGAAUGGUUUUGAAGAUGGAAUAAAGGGGCCAUAAGCCAAGGAAUGUGGAUGGCUUUUAGAAGCAAGAAAAGGAACAGAGACCAAUGCUGAGCCCCUGAUAUGGAAUCAUCCUUAGAGGAGAACCAAAUGGUGACAUGUUAAUUGCACUGGAUCCCUUCUAUUCUGGAAGUGGCAAUAAUUCAUCUUGAUUGGAAUUGACCCAUA